UGGGGAAUAUUGCACAAUGGGGGAAACCCUGAUGCAGCGACGCCGCGUGAACGAAGAAGGUAUUCGUAUCGUAAAGUUCUGUCCUAUGGGAAGAUAAUGACAGUACCAUAGAAGAAAGCUCCGGCUAAAUACGUGCCAGCAGCCGCGGUAAUACGUAUGGAGCGAGCGUUGUCCGGAAUUAUUGGCGUAAAGGGUACGCAGGCGGUUUAAUAAGUCGAAUGUUAAAGAUCGGGGCUCAACCCCGCAAAGCAUUGGAAACUGAUAAACUUGAGUAGUGGAGAGGAAAGUGGAAUUCCUAGUGUAGUGGUGAAAUACGUAGAUAUUAGGAGGAAUACCAGUAGCGAAGGCGACUUUCUGGACACAAACUGACGCUGAGGUACGAAAGCGUGGGGAGCAAACAGG
rnacentral:rRNA from 1 species